rnacentral:pre_miRNA from 1 species
UUUAAAUACAAUUGUGAGUUUAUAUGUCAAUUGUUUGACCGUCUAUCUUAUUUAAAACUUUUCUAUGAUUAGUAUUUUUUUUUGUUGUUAUUAGAUGAUAAAAUAUAAAUAGUACUUUAUGCGUUAUUCUUUUAUAAUUUUUUUUAAAUAAAACGGACUGUCACAUGUUAGACACGAAGACUGACUGCUGUACUUAAA